rnacentral:snRNA from 1 species
AGUUUUUGAUGCGCUACUCUAUAUCGAACAUGGUUCUUGCCUUUUACCAGAACCAUCCGGGUGUUGUCUCUUCCAGAGAUAAGGUGUUGCACUUCACAUUUUUUGGAACCUUUUCUUCGUCUCAUUAUUU